rnacentral:rRNA from 1 species
ACGCACGCUGGCGGCGUGCUUAACACAUGCCAGUCGAACGGAAAGGCCCUGCUUUUGUAGGGUGCUCGAGUGGCGAACGGGUGAGUAACACGUGAGUAACCUGCCCUUGACUUUGGGAUAACUUCAGGAAACUGGGGCUAAUACCGGAUAGGAGCUCCUGCUGCAUGGUGGGGGUUGGAAAGUUUCGGCGGUUGGGGAUGGACUCGCGGCUUAUCAGCUUGUUGGUGGGGUAGUGGCUUACCAAGGCUUUGACGGGUAGCCGGCCUGAGAGGGUGACCGGCCACAUUGGGACUGAGAUACGGCCCAGACUCCUACGGGAGGCAGCAGUGGGGAAUAUUGCACAAUGGGCGGAAGCCUGAUGCAGCAACGCCGCGUGCGGGAUGACGGCCUUCGGGUUGUAAACCGCUUUCGCCUGUGACGAAGCGUGAGUGACGGUAAUGGGUAAAGAAGCACCGGCUAACUACGUG